CACACACAAGUUUUGGACAAUAAGAGAAAAAAGAAUGAAAGAAAAAGGGGAAAAUAAUAGACCCAGCCAGUAGUGACACAUCAGGGAGUGCCGUUACAAAGGCAAGACUCCCGACCGACCGACAACUCAACUCAACCGCCCGCCCUGGCAGGCUGGCAGGUCCACGACCCUCACUUCUUCCCCUGCUGCUGCAGGACCGUCAAGGAGACCAUUGGGCACCUCCUGCUGCUGCUGCAGGACCGUCAAGAAGACCAUUGAGCACCUCCUGCUGCUGCUGCAGGACCGUCAAGGAGACCAUUGAGCACCUCCUGCUGCUGCUGCUGCACUGCCCCGCCUCCACUCCCAGCCACGACACCAACUCCCUCCCUCCCUGGACGUGGCGGCCACCUUGGACCUGGCGGCGGCAGGCGUCCACCCCUCACAGCAGGAAGCAGCAGCCACCCGCCCCACCUGUGCCUUCCUCAGGAAGACGGGACAGCCUGUGAGGCCCUCACAGGACGACACCAGGGCUCAUGUGAGCGACUAGUGGCCGCGGCACAUAACAACAACAACAACAACAACAACAACAACAACAACACUGCCUAACAGCCCCCUAGAACACCCCAGAAGAAGAACAAAGUCUACUGCUUAACAGCCCCCUAGAACACCCCAGAAGAAGAACAAAGUCUACUGCUUAACAGCCCCCUAGAACACCCCAGAAGAAGAAGCAUGAGUACCCAGGACAAGCAGGAGCAGACUGCUGCAGGGGGCAGGAGGGUCAGUGGUCACCAGAUGAAGCAACUUGCUGCUGGCAACUCCAGUAACAAAGGAGAGAGGAAGUUUGUGUGUCUGGAGUGUGGAAAAGAAUUCACCAGAAGGGAAGGCCUCGGAUAUCACACCCUUAUUCACACUGGUGUGAAGAACUAUGAAUGUAAGGAAUGUGGGAAAAAAUUCAUCAAGAAGAGUAACCUUGAUAGACACACCCUUACACACACUGGUGUGAAGAACUAUGAAUGUAAGGAAUGUGGGAAAAAAUUCAUCCUGAAGGGUAACCUUGAUAGACACACCCUUACACACACUGGUGUGAAGAACUAUGAAUGUAAGGAAUGUGGGAAAAAAUUCAUCCGGAAGAGUGACCUUGAUAGACACAUCUUUACAUAUGCUGGUGUGAAGAACUAUGAAUGUAAGGAAUGUGGGAAAACAUUCAGCCGGAAGAGUCACCUUGAUGAACACACCCUUACACACACAGGUGUAAAAAGUCAUGAGUGUGAAGAGUGCGGGAAGAGGUUCAGUGUGAAGCAGGCACUCAAUCGACACAUCUUCAGGCACUAUGGCCUUAGAGAGGUCAAGUGUGAUGUUUGUGGAAAGCUCUUUAAGACAAGGGGUGACAUUGCCAGGCACAUGAAGACCCACUUCUGAAGUGUGUCUGGCUACAGUAGUUAUAGUGACCAGGGUGUUAGCAGCAGCUGAGCCUGAUAGGGAAAGGGAAGUGAAGGAGAGGUAAAAGUGAUCUUGUAAGACAAGGAAGAAAGAAGGCUUGCCUGUGAAGUGAUAAAAGGAGAGGAGCCACAGCAAGAAGAGGAAGGGAAAUACUGAUGGCUGACUUUCCACAGCUGUGGCAGCUGCACCUGGGCCUGGAGCCUGGUUGAGUCUCACAGCUACAGUGAAUUACUUACUCCUCUGUGAGAGCGUGUGAAGCAGUUUGCCAACCUGGUCCUGGCCCUCAUGAUGCUGUUCGCCAGGUAUAAUCACUGGAUGGUGGGCGACAAGUUUGAGAGACUCGCCCCCUCACUGGUGUUCUUCUUCAUGCUAACCUGCUGGCUCAUCGUUGAGUACCAAAUCCACCGGAAGGAGAAGAUGGACAAGGCGGCGGCAGCGGCCAAGAAGUCACCCACCGUAGCUGCCGAAGGGAAGGACGGAGGAACAGCCGUCAAUUCCAUUGCUGGCGGCUCCACAUCUACUCUCUUCUUCUCCUCCUCCGCCUCCUCAGUUGCCUCCGCCUCCUCCUCUUCGCCCUCCUCCUCCUCCUCUCAACAUGGACAGUUGAAGAAGGAUGUUUAUUGUGGAGGUGUUUGAUUGAGGUAUGUGGUUCGGUGCUUUUAUUUUCGUUUGUGUGUGUAUUUACCUAGUUGUAUUUACCAACAGUAGAGCCCCAUUUAGCGCGAGAAUUAGGUGUAUGAACGUGGUCGCGCUAACUGAAUUCGCGCUAAUUGAAUAAAGUAACCAAUAUGAAAAAAAUUAUUUGGUUGUCUUGUCUUGUCUUGUCGAUGAUUUACCCCUCAGAAGGGGAAUGGGCCCUUGUCUAAUACAGUGAAUUAUUUGGUGCACACGUGGGUCUGACUUUUGGGUUUGAUAAUUACUCAAAACAAUCACUCACAUUAAAAAAAAAAACUACGAUUGGCUGAGCUCUGAAAACACGCUUGUGAUUCGCUGGGAGUCUGAUGACGUCAUUGCCGGCGCUCACCCAGUCAGUGGCCUUGCUGCCUUAAGGCAGUAUCACACUUGGACAACCGGCAAAUCCAAAUUUUCCGGGUGUGCAUCACACACAGCCAAGGUCAGUUGCCUGUAUCCACAUCCACAACGUAAACAAAGCACUUGCCCUGUAUCAACAUGGCGUCAUCUGCUAAAGUAAGGGCUCUCACGGCUUAUGCCGCGCAUCAUGGCGGCUUGUGCUGCGCAUCAUGGUGGCUUGUUCCGCGCAUCAUGGCAGCACAAUUAUUGGCAUGUUAUUUCACUGUGGUGGCUGCUCACGCUAACUAAGGCUUUCACACUAAUUAUUUUUUUCUUGGUAGAUGGUGGCUCACGCUAAUUGUGGUUUGCGCUAAUUGAUCUCGCGAUAAGUGGGGCUCUUUUGUACUUGUGACAUACGGGAAAAGAGCUACGCUCGCGCUGUCCCGUCUCCAUAUCCGCUGUUGUCCAACUUUUCCUUAAAAUCAUGAAUGUUUCUUGCACAAACCACCUCCUCCUCCAGCCUAUUCCAUAGCUCUAUGCUUUUGUUUGGGAAGCUAAACUUUUUCACAUCUCCCUUACACGUGGUCGCCCUCAACUUCUUUCCAUGUCCUCUUGUUUCUCUCUUGUUCCACACACACAGGUCCUCUCUGUCCAAAUGCUCCACCCCGUUCGCCACCCUGUACACCACUAUCAGGUCUCCUCUUUCUCUUCUUCUCUCCAGGGUUGUGAGCCCCAUGCUAUUGAGUCUCUCCUCAUAAGUCUGGUCCCUAAGUUCCAGUACCAUCUUAGUUGCCACUUUCUACACUCUUUCCAGCUUUCUUAAGUUCUUUUUGUGAGGAGACCAGACCACUGCUGCAUACUCCAACCUUGGCCUUAUCAUUGUAACUUAUUAUUUUCUUCAUCAUCUCCUCAUCCAAAUACACAAAUGCCGUCCUUAUGUUCCUCAGCAAAUUCAUAGUUUGUCCCGUUAUCCAGUUGAUGUGUUUGUCCGGUGACAUGUUCUCUGAGACAGUCACUCCCAAAUCUUUUUCUUCCACUCCUCGGCAUAUUAUUUCACUUCCCAUCUUAUAAUCAUAUUCACAUCUUCUGCUCCUUCCAAACUCCAUUUUUUUACAUUUCCCAAUACGUAAUGUUACAUCUACAUAAGGAUGAGAAAUGAGCAUAACAGUGAGUGUGUGUGUGUGUUUGCUACCCUUCCCUCCCUCCCUCGCCCCAAUGUUUGUCUCUGUAGGUGUGUGUAGGCGAUAAGACGACCUUUCAACACACCUUUUUUCUUUCCUUUAUUCUUUCCCUCUUUACGACUUUAUUGUAAGUAUACGUAACCUUAAACUAAUGAAAUACAUGUUACGUGAACCCUACCCUCAAGAUGUUACUUUUAUCUCUGUAUGUAUAGGGAAGAUUACAUCUCUUAAACUAACGAUAUAUGUUACGUCAACCUUAACCUGCGAGAUGUUUGUAUAAGUAACCUCAAUUCACUCUUCGUAUGUUUGUGUAAGUAACCUCAAUUCACUCUUCGUAUGUUUGUGUAAGUAACCUCAAUUCACUCUUCGUAUGUUUGUAUAAGUAACCUCAAUUCACUCUUCGUAUGUUUGUAUAAGUAACCUCAAUUCACUCGUAUGCUUGUAUAAGUAACCUCAAUUCACUCGUAUGCUUGUAUAAGUAACCUCAAUUCACUCGGAUGUUUGUAUAAGUAACCCCAAUUCAUUUCAUGUGUCGUAUGUUACUUUGAUCUGUACGUAUAGGGAAGAUUACGUCAUUUAAACUAGCAAAAUAUAAGUUACGCCAACCUUACCUACGAGGUGUUUGUGUAAGUAACCUCAGUUUACUUGUAUGUCGUAUGUUAAUUUGAUCUCUGUACGUCGAGGCAAGAUUUCGGCAACUUGGCACUCACUGUUAUGCUCAUUUCUCGUCUUUAUGUAGAUGUAACAUUACGAUCCAUGUUAUACUGAAGUUACUGUGUCAUCCCUAACAUUACGUAUAUGUCACUUUGGUUACUAAGUCUUGUUAACAUUACUAACCAUUAUAUUUAAGUUACUGUGUCAUCCCUAACAUUACGUAUAUGUCACUUUGGUUACUAAGUCUUGUUAACAUUACUAACCAUUAUAUUUAAGUUACUGUGUCAUCCCUAACAUUACGUAUAUGUCGCUUUGGUUACUAAGUCUUGUUAACAUUACUAACCAUUAUAUUUAAGUUACUGUGUGAUCCCUAACAUUACGUAUAUGUCACUUUGGUUACUAAGUCUUGUUAACAUUACUAACCAUUAUAUUUAAGUUACUGUGUGAUCCUUAACAUUACGUAUAUGUCACUCUGGUUACUAAGUCUUGUUAACAUUACGUAUCCAUUAUAUUUACUGUGUCAUCCCUAACAUUACGUAUAUGUCACUCUGGUUACUCAGUCUUGUUAACAUUACUAACCAUUAUAUUUAAGUUACUGUGUCAUCCCUAACAUUACGUAUAUGUCACUUUGGUUACUAAGUCUUGUUAACAUUACGUAUUCAUUCACUGCGGUUACUAAGUCUUUAACAUUACAUAUCCAUUUCAUUUGUUACUAUGCCAUUUGUAACAUUACGUAUACAUGUCACUUCGGUUACUAAGCUUUUUUAAUGUAACAUAUCCAUUUAAUGUAAGUUAUUAUGCCAUCUGUAACAUUAUGUAUACAUAUCGCUGUGGUUACGUAUAUAUUUUGUAACAUUAUGAUCCCUGCCACUUAAGGUACGUAUAUAUUUUGUAACAUUACGAUCCCUGCCCCUUAAAUUAAUAUGCUAUUUGUAACAUGAUGAAUUCUGACACUUAAGUUAUUGUUAGUUCAUCUGCAACAUUACGAUCCUCAUCAUACGUAAGUUACCAUGUCCUCAGUAACAUUACGUAUCUAUGUCACUGCUGAGUUACUGUAUCUUUUUCCUACAAUCUUUCUACAAUCCCUGUCAUGGUUGAGUCACUACGCUGUCUGUAACGUUCGGUCCUCAUCACUUGCGUCACCAUAUCUUCCGUAACAUUACAAUCCCUAUCACACUUGGGUUACUGUGUCAUCUGUAGCAAUGCGCACUCCUGUCCCUUCGGUUGCUAAAUCUCGUGUAACAUUUACUUCUGUCACUAUUAACUUGCUCUGCCCUUUGUAACACUGAGACCAGGUUAUGUUAGUAAUUUGUUUUGCCUUUUUCUGUAUGUUGAGACAAGGUUAUGGAAGCUGGUCAUUUGUUACGUCUAUUUCUCUUAAGUUUGAGACAAGGCUACGUUGACUAGCCUCCGUUAUGUCACGUCUUUACAUUGAGACAAGGUUAUGUGAGCGUCACUUAAUUCGUUCUUCUUUACAUCGACACAAAGUUACGUUAGCGUCACUUAAUUCGUUCUUCUUUACAUCGACACAAGGUUACGUGAGCCAGUCAUUCAUUACAUACAUUUUUCUUAAGUUCAAGACAAGGUUACAUUAGCCAGUCAUUCAUUACAUACAUUUUUCUUAAGUUCAAGACAAGGUUACAUUAGCUAGUCAUUCAUUACAUACAUUUUUCUUAAGUUCAAGACAAGGUUACGUGAGCCAGUCAUUCAUUACAUACAUUUUUCUUAAGUUCAAGACAAGGUUACAUUAGCUAGUCAUUCAUUACAUACAUUUUUCUUAAGUUCAAGACAAGGUUACAUUAGCUAGUCAUUCAUUACAUACAUUUUUCUUAAGUUCGAGACAAGGUUACAUUAGCUAGUCAUUCAUUACAUACAUUUUUCUUAAGUUCGAGACAAGGUUACAUUAGCUAGUCAUUCAUUACAUGCAUUUUUCUUAAGUUCAAAACAAGGUUACGUUAGCCAGUCAUUCAUUAAUAUAGUUUUCUUAAGUUCGAGACUAUGUUACAUUAGCCAGUCAUUCGAUAUGUAAUUUUUUGAACAUGGUAUUAUUAUUUAUCAAGUUACAUGGGUAGUUUGAGUUUCUACUUUCUUUGCAUCGAGACAAAACGAGGUUACUUCAGCUACCCCUUCGUUACAUCACAUGUACUAUCGGCUCCAAUACUCUCUUGCCCACUCAGAAACAAAAGUCAUCCAGGUGAGAAGUGGCAAUGCCUGCAAUCUCCCCCCUCCCCUACUGGGAAUAAUGACUGACAAGUGUCAUCUACACACACUCUCUCUCUCUCUCUCUCUCUCUCUCUCUCUCUCUCUCUCUCUCUUUUCACCAACAUUGUAGUGCAAGAAUGGAAUAAGCUCCCACCUUUAGUGGUCCAGUGUAACACGAUUGACUCCUUUAAAAACAAGCUCGACCGUCACUUCCUUCAAUUUAAUAUAAAGGGGGGCGCCAGGGGGUAGCAUAUUAAAAAAAGGUCCCUUUAAGAGAUUUAAAUGCCCUGCGCUGUUACGUCAUAUCACGCCAGCACACAUGGUAUUCCUCAGGGCUUGUACGCACAUAAAAUUCACAUUAGAAAUAGUCUUUUCCCUCUAAAUUUUGUCAUCCGUCAUCCCUCUAUCCACUCAUGACAGCUGGCGAAUGUAAAAUGCGCGCUCUGCUGCUCAGUUCUCACCCAGACGUUGACUGGGGAGGACGUUGAAAAUUUCGCUGUCCUACAACCCAAAAACGUCUUUACAGUAUGUCCUAUGGCUUUGAAGAAUUUUAGUAUGUUAAACAAACAAAGCAUAAAUCUUCUUUUUGUUUCACAGACUUUAGCUUUUAGUUGAUUGCUUUGAAAAAAAAUACCAUAGAAACUUUGUAUAUAUAUCUACAUUUCUCAUUUUGUAAUUUUUUUUUUUUUUUUUUUUUGGGGGGGGGGCUUUGUAAAUUUUUUUUUUUUUUAACUAAUAAUUUUCUCCACUUUUUCUCCCAUUUUCUUUUUACAUUUUUAAAAAUGUACAAAAUGAGAAAAAUUGCCAUUUAGUUGUAAUUUAUAUUGAUACAAGUAACUCUCGAUUUACGCGUUUGGUUUACGCAUUUUUUAAAUAACGCGGGGUCCAAAAUCCAAAGGAAUGUUUAAUUUACACGUUUUUUCACUUAUACGCGAUAUGGAUAUUCUCUCUCUCCACUGAAUGAAGUGAAUAUUUAUUUUUCGAUACAAACCUACCUCCUGUUUGAUUUACAUUGUUUUUGAUUUACGCGACCUCUUCAAGGACACAAUACUCAUGUAAAUCGAGAGUUACCUGUACCUUAUAAAAGACUCGAAAAACAAAAUUUUGAGAUUUUGGCUCCUAAAUAUUUUUUUUCCAUUUCAUGUGUUUUGCCAUUUGUAUUCAUUUGAUUGGCAUGAAAUCUUCACAUAUGAUUAUUUAUACCUUGUUCACUUACUGGAGAAGGAUAAGGCAUCUGGUCCCCCUUUAUAAUAAAAAGUAUUAUCACUCAAAGGUGGUGGUGGUGAUCAGUGCCGGAUUUACGUAUAAGCUAAACAAGCUAUAGCUUAGGGCCCCACUCUCUUGGGGGCCCAAAAACAAGAAGAAAAAAAAUGAAAAGAAAAAAAGGAAAAAAAAGAACUUGGUUCACAUAACUGUACAUUUUCAAAUUGGAAGAUAAACAAAUUGAAUAAAUCCUACAUACAGCAACAGUGUUUUGUGUUGUGUAGGCUCCUGUGAUGCAAGUAAUGGGGCCCCGCCUGCUAGCCUGCUCCCUAAAAUAUCACUGGUGUGUUCACGUCUAUAUAAUUAUAUAGGGCCAGGGGGCCUACAUGCUGCAAUGCAUGGACAGUAGACUGGUUGCACUUGCAUAGCAACAUGUAGCUUGCAGCUGCAGACUGCAGUGCAGCACAGUUGAAUGUAGGUCAAGCUUUUGUACUUGUUAUCUAAUAUUAAAGAGAGCUUGUAGACUGAUGAUCAGGCAGCAUAGUCUUAGGGUAUAAGUCUUAUUUUUUGCAAUAUAAUAGUGACAGUAUCAAUAUGGCCUUAUGUGGGCGAAUAGGGUGAGAUGGGGGUAUGAAUGUACAUGGGUGUGUUACCGUGUGUAACGUACAGUAACAAUGGCCAUAAUAAUUUCUAUCUUAAUUAAAAUAUAAAAGUUUGGCAUUGAAGAUGAAGACGAAGUUAAAAGAAGAAAAUGGAGUGCUUAUGCAUGGCGCCGCAAUCAGGGCUCUCACUUUCAAGGUAAUUACCUAAGUUUAAUGUAGUUUAGGUAGUUUUAAGGUAAUGAUAUAUUUAAUGUAAUUCUGAUGUAACAGCUAUAAUGGAAUAAUAAUUAUGGUUCUGACUCCCCAUUUAAUUUAUAGGCACGCCGCUUGUGACUCCCGCCUCCUGCAUCAUGAGGCGUAUUACAGCACACAACAAUGGCAGCCACGCGUGGGUAACAGAAGGAGUUGAGUGACAUCCGUAAGUCAGGCUGGGCUGGCAUUAAGUCGUUUCGUGACAUCCAGGUGGUUGUGGAAGAGAGCAACACCUCACCUGGCAGGGACUCAUUGUGCUGCUGAGUGUUACUAACCACACCAAACACUGAGCCUAAAAUGGAUAUCAAAAGAUAUAAGAAAAGUGGAGCUCAAAAGAGGGAGAAGCAGAAAACUGAAGAAGAGCUUAGCAAGUUACCAAAAUUAGAUAGCUUCUUCACCAAGGCAGAUAAAGGGCCUGAUGAACCGAGAGCCUCUACCACAGCGAUUCAGUCAUGUGAUAGUCCCAUUCCUGAUACAGAACUUGGUACAUCUAGUUCUAUAGAAUCUGCUUCAAUGACUGAAGCAAGAAAUAUUAAGAUUGACCGACCAGAGGGUAGUAUAAGCACAGAAAAUUCAAAAUCAAAAUACAAGCAGAAUGGUGAUGGGCUUUGGGGUGAUUUAAGUAAAGAUGACAUUGUAUACUGGGUAGAAAAAGGUCUGUCAGAGUGUUAGCACUCAGAUGGUUCAUUUGAAAAGUCUAGAGUCUAAGUCUUUUUGCAAACCAAGACAGAUAUUGUUCAAAGAGCUUGUUCUAUCCCAAACAGGCUAAUGGUGAAAAAUACUGUAGAGAAUAGUUAGUAUAUUCACCAGAAACUGGUCGUGUAUACUGUUUUGUGUGCAAACACUUUUCAAAUUCUUCCACACCAUUGUCAUCAGAUGGAUUUUCUGACUGGCGCAACACCCAUUUAGUUAAAAGUCAUGAAAACUCUGGAGACCAAGAAGAGCUUCAGUAGCAUAUCUUACAAGAAAACGUGGCUCAACAACUGACUGCCAACUAGCAGAACAGAUACAAAAUGAACAGCAUUACUGGAAACAUGUUCUUGAACGAGUUGUUGCAGUCAUCAUUACGCUGGCAGGGCGUGGUUUACCUUUCAGAGGAGAUGAGGAAAUAUUUGGCAAUAUUUGGUUCUCCCCACAAUGGCAAUUACCUUGGAUUACUUGAACUUGUUGCAAAAUCUGAUCCUUUUCUAGCAAACCAUAAAAGAAUUCGGAAAUAAAGGAUCAGGUGUCACAUCCUCUCUUUCUAAAACAAUAUGUGAUGAAUUUAUCCAUAUGGUGGCAUAUAAAGUAAGAGAAUCAAUUUUGGAUGAUUUAAAAACUGCAGAGUACUUAAGUUUAUCUGUAGAUUCCACUCCAGACCUGUCCCAUGUUGACCAGCUCACAGUUAUUGUAAGGUAUGUUUCACCCUCCUAGAGAUGGGUAGCCAUACAGGGGAAAGUAUGGCUAAGAUGGUGCAUGACUACCUUACAAAAGAAUGCAAAAUAGAUUUCAAUAAGUGUCAAGGCCAGUCAUAUGAUAAUGCUGCCAAUAUGUCUGGCAAAUACAAGGGGAUGCAAGAUAUAAUAUUGAAAAUCAAUAAGUAUGCAAUGUGCAGGUCAUUCCUUGAAUCUUGUUGGUAGAGGUGCAGUUGACUUGCUUAGAUGCAGUAAUUUUUUUUGGAAUUGUUCAAGAAUAUAUAGAUGGGCAGUGCUGUUGUCUUCUUCAAAGAUGAUUCAAAAGUUCCAGAGUCUUUGUCAAAGACUAGAUGGGAAGCUCAUUCAAGGGCCACAAGUGCAGUCCUUGACAGUUAUGAUGAAAUAAUUUCUGCAUUGCAUGAGCUUCAUAUUGAUACCAGAGAGAAGGAUGAAACAAGAAAUCAAGCCAUAAACAUUUUGAAUAAAAUGGAGGAACUUGAAUUUAUGGUAAUGUUAUAUUUGUGGAGUUAUUUGCUGGAUGAAUUCCACAAGACUCGUCAGUCACUGCAAGACCCCAAAAUUAGCCUAGAUGUAUGCAGGAAAUUGUAUGCUUCACUGUUAGAUUUUGUUAAAGGUUCAAGAGAUCUUUUUGAUAAUUUUGAAGAACAGGCAAAGGAAAAAUUGCCUGAUGUUGAUUACAAGAAAAGCAGAUCUAGAAAGGUGUACAGGUAAAGAUGAAGAUGAUGCUUUUGAGAACCUAGAGCCAAGAGACAGAUUUAAAAUCAAAGCAUUUAUUCCUGUGAUGGAUGCAUUAGAAUAAAAUCUGGCAUGAAGGGCUUCAGUAUACAAUGAUGCUGCAAAACAAAUUUUAUUCCUUACAAAAUUAGAUGCUACAGAAGAAGAGAUUUGUGAAGGAGUUCGUGCUUUAAGCCAAACAUAUCCUGAAGAUGUGGACAUGAACUUUGUUGGAGAACUAAAGCAUUUCCAUCAGUAUGUUAGACAGUCAAAGCCAUGAGCACGAUAGUAUGACACAUCAGGGUCUGUACCAAGUAAUAUUUAAAGACCAUGUCCAAUCAGCAUUCCCUAAUAUAGAAGCAAUUCUGAGAAUCUUCCUUAGUAUGAUGAUUACAAAUUGCAAUGGAGAAAGAUCCUUUUCUCAGUUGAAGAGGAUAAAAAAUGAAUUUCAACCAACAAUAUCUCAAGAUAAUUAUAUUCCCUCAGCCUCAUAUGCAUAGAAAAUGACAAGCUACGCAGUUUAUCAUUUGAUGAUAUCAUUAGUGACUUUGCUGUGGCAAAGGCUAGAAAGAAACUAUUCUAAUUUGGUUUGGAUCAUUUUUGUGUACUGUUUCAGUCUGUUUGUAUACACAGUGUCAGUGUGCAAUGAAUCAUGAUAAAAGAUACAGUUCAAUGGGCCGGCUAUUGGGUAGAUCAUAGAUGCAUUGAUAUAAUUAGUCCUGUUAUUUAUUUAUUUUUAUUUCUUAUAUUCAAUCAUGUAUAGUAUUGGUAUUACAUGUAUUUACGAAUGUGACAUAAUUAUUAGAAAUACCGUCUUAAACACUCACUAAGUGUUACAGGAUACAAAGGUCUGCUGCCCCAUCCAAUUUAAAUCAUGCACUACUAUGGUGAUUGUGAUAUUAUAUAAAUGCAUUGUAUUAACCCUUUCAGUGCUAUGUGCGUCUGUGGACGGUUCACUGCUAUGAACAUCCGGACCGUGACCACUCCUGCUGCAGCCAGAGGACUUCUAGUGACCUGAGCGAGGGCAUCGGCUCACCUCGCUCCCUCCCGCAUGCUUCGUCUACCCAGCCUGCAGCACACAAGCGUCGGAGGAGCUACGUGAUCUACAGUGACUCAGAUGAAGCUUCUGAUUUGAGAGAGGGCGUCGACUCACCUUGCUGCCUCCCACACACUUCAUCUCCCCAACCUGCAGCUAACAAUCAUCGAAGGAUCUAUAGUGACUCAGAUGAAACUUCUUAUAUGAGCAGGGAGGAAGACAGUGAUAGUGGUAGUGAUGAAAGCAGUGUCAUUCCUGAUUUGAGGGAGGGCAUCGACUCACUUCACCCCCUCCCACACUCUUCGUCCACCCAGCCUGCAGCUCACUAUAGUCUGUUCACUUAAGCUAGAUUCUUGGCUCCUAGGCAGGUUCGUAAACUUGCAGCUGAUUGGCUGCUCCGCUCUCCCGCUAACACUCAUGUCGGACCACAUCUUGCAUGCUCGAGUGAGGCAUGUUUCU